AACGAACGCUGGCGGCAGGCCUAACACAUGCAAGUCGAGCGAAGCCUUCGGGCUUAGCGGCGGACGUGUGAGUAACGCGUGGGAACGUGCCCUUUGGUACGGAAUAGCCCCGGGAAACUGGGAGUAAUACCGUAUGUGGUCGAGAGACGAAAGAUUUAUCGCCAAAGGAUCGGCCCGCGUUGGAUUAGGUAGGUGGUGGGGUAAUGGCCUACCAAGCCGACGAUCCCUAGCUGGUUUGAGAGGAUGCUCAGCCACACUGGGACUGAGACACGGCCCAGACUCCUACGGGAGGCAGCAGUGGGGAAUCUUAGACAAUGGGGGAAACCUUGAUCUAGCCAUGCCGCGUGAUCGAUGAAGGCCUUAGGGUUGUAAAGAUCUUUCAGUGGGGAAGAUAAUGACUGUACCCACAGAAGAAGCCCCGGCUAACUCCGUGCCAGCCGCCGCCGUAAUAC
rnacentral:rRNA from 1 species